rnacentral:rRNA from 1 species
AAGAAAGCUGUGGGCACAGCCUAUACACAGAGAUUGGAGAUCUUUUGGGAGUUAGUGGGGACGGGUAGUACCACGUGGAACGUGCCUUUAGGUUCGGAAUAACUCAGGGAAACUUGUGCUAAUACCGAAUGUGCCCCCCGAAUUCAUUUUGGGGUGGGAAAGAUUUAUCGCCUUUAGAGCGGCCCGCGUCUGAUUAGCUAGUUGGGUGAGGUAAAGGCUCACCAAGGCGACGAUCAGUAGCUGGUCUGAGAGGAUGAUCAGCCACAUUGGGACUGAGACACGGCCCAAACUCCUACGGGAGGGCAGCAGUGGGGAAUCUUGCGCAAUGGGCGAAAGCCUGACGCAGCCAUGCCGCGUGAAUGAUGAAGGUCUUAGGAUUGUAAAAUUCUUUCACCGGGGACGAUAAUGACGGUACCCGGAGAAGAAGCCCCGGCUAACUUCGUGCCAGCAGCCGCGGUAAUACGAAGGGGGCUAGCGUUGCUCGGAAUUACUGGGCGUAAAGGGAGCGUAGGCGGACAUUUAAGUCAGGGGUGAAAUCCCGGGGCUCAACCUCGGAAUUGCCUUUGAUACUGGGUGUCUUGAGUAUGAGAGAGGUGUGUGGAACUCCGAGUGUAGAGGUGAAAUUCGUAGAUAUUCGGAAGAACACCAGUGGCGAAGGCGACACACUGGCUCAUUACUGACGCUGAGGCUCGAAAGCGUGGGGAGCAAACAGG